GGGCUCGGGGUUCGGACCUACCUUUCCCUAGCAAGAGUGACGGAGUAGACAGGACUUCCCAGGUUUGCAGCGACGGCAGAGUCACCCAACCCACAACAGACCCCUUCCUCCCGGUAGCGCUGGUCCCCUCCCCAACCCCCCAUCCCCACCCCCCAGCCUCCCGGGACUAAAACCCGAGGAACUGCCGUGUCAGGUGGGCGGGACUGACUCUUUCAAUACCUAUCGGCGGGAGUCCUCAGCCCAGCCCCGCCGCCGCGAGCGCUAAGUAGCUAGCCGGUCACCGAGCGGACCCGACUCGGGGCAGCACCGGCGCGGGCCGGGCAGCAGUGGGCGCUCGCGAUCCUCCUCUGCCCAACGCGCUCUCUCUCAGCGCCCGCCUCCUCCGUCCCCUCCUCCCUCUCCUGCCCCUCCUCCUGCCCCUCCCCUCCUCGGGUCUGAUAACCUAGCCUCGCGCCUGCAAAGUCCCCGGCUCGCGGGCAGCCACGAACCUCCGCCACUGCCUGGUCUCAGUGGGUGCCUGCGCCCGUGCCUCACCCGCCUGCCCAGGUCGUCUCGAGGCUCGCUCCGCCGGCCGCCGGUGCUCCACGGCGCUGCCCAUGGCCAAGCCCGAGAGCCGACUUCGGGCGCCAGACCUGCUGGAAGGUGGCGCGGCUCAGAUGAAAAGAAAAUAAGCUCAGCGAAGGAAAGUGACUUGCCCAAGGGCACACAGGAAUAUGUGGACAGCUGGCUCCUCAUUUAGAGCAGGGCAAGGAGAGUUCCGGCUGCCUGUCCUGCAGGGCCAGGGGGAGGAUGGAUGAGAGAGUGGAUAAUAAACGUCAGUGCUGCUGUCGGCUCUCAGCGGAGGGCACCAACUGUGUCAGUGAACAGCAUCACUCUGCUCUUCCCUAACAGAAGCAUAAAUAUGGCCCUUCUCUGCAAUGAGCAAUUUCCUUAGCUCUGCUGACACAACGGGAAAUAUCCUCAGCGAGAAAAUUAAAUAUUGGUGUCACAGGACUAUUAGAGAAGCAAAUAGCAUCCCACACUUCCUCCUCCCUCCCUCCUUUUGCAUCUCCACCUUUUCUCAGGCUGGCAUGAAGCCCUGAAGAGGGUCCCAGGUCCCAGCUAUGAAAGUGAAGAUUUUUGAGAUGUCUGGGACUCGGCUUUGUAAGGAGGUCCCGGAGCUUGUGCUCAGCGAUGUGAGAAACAUAGACAGCGUCAGGGAUAACCCUGCCCUCAUGGAGUUCACAGUCUGCCAGGCACAAGAACCCACAUGCCUGACUCCCCAGCCCGUACUUCAGAGAAUCAUCACAUUUUGGACUGUGAAACACCUUUUUAAAAGUCUGUUUUGCAACCACCACGGGAGAGUGCUUAUCAAUUAAAUAUCCAAGUAUUGAAAAAAAAUACAAGACUGUCAUGUAUUAAUAAAAAUGUAAAAUGAGUCAGGAUUUUAUUUCACAAACCAUCAUUAAUAUGCAUUUGAAAAAAUAUUAGAACUUAUAAAGGGCAAGGUAUUUUAUCUGGGGUAGAGACAAAACGUAGUACAUAUAUGGUUCAAGAGCUCUUGAAAUCACUCUAUGCCUCCCAUCCCCAUGGCCUACACGUUGAGAAUUACACAAAAAACAAGAAAAAAACAAAACAGUCCCUAGAGGGACUCCUGCCUUCUUUGUCUCUUGAAGAAAGGUUAGAAUAACCAAUACAUUUUGUGAUGAUGAGGUGAACCCAUAAAAGGAAUGAUGUCUCCAAAGCUCUACAGGGAUACCCAGGGCCUCAAUGACACGCACAGAGGGAUAGCAGGUAAUUUAGAAAUAGAGGGUGGAGCUGCUCCCCAAAUGUAACAUUACAAGUUAAUCCCAUGGAUGGGAAAGAGAGAACUGUAGAAACUAAUGCAGAAACUAAGAAACUGUAGAAACUAAGAUCACCAAAAAUUAACCGAAGUUAAUCUCUAUAGUCAGUGUGGCAUGCUCUGCUCUGUUGAGGAAGGAGAGAUGAAAUGGUGGCAACAUAUUUUACACUAGAUUUGUUAAUUUUUGCUUCUGCUUUUGCUCAAAAUAUACACAUCUGACAAAACCUAACAUCUAAAGGUCUGUUGAAGUAGAAAGCUGAGCUUUUGGGAUGAGAGUAUAAAAUUCAUCUGGAGAUAAAUUUUUAGUUUUCACUCUUGACUGAUGCUCAGAUACUUAUGUGAGGACGGAAGGAAGUAUCUGAUGUGGUUUUGGAUGGAACAGAUUCGACAUUCCAGGUGAGGGCUCAUGCCAUAUAGGAAAAGAGCACUUGCAAAUACUAGACACUGUGUGUUGAAGCCGUCGCUGUCACACCCACUCCAAGCUAUGAUUUCUCACGUGGGCAUAAGAAUAGCCUCCUAAUUGGUCUCAGUACCUUCAUCUCCCUCCCUAUGCCCCACCCCACUGCCAUCAUACACCAUCUAUGCAAAAGCCAGAGAGAGUUUUUAAACUUUCUUUUCGGAUCACAACACUCCUCUGCUGACCUGGCUGCAAAGCCCUCCCUAAUCUGGGUCCUGUCUUCCUCUCUGACCUCAACAUGACCUCCAUCUCCCUUGCUCCCUGGUUUUCCUUCUGUGCCUCAAACACCCCGACCUUGGGCAUCCUUCUCACCAUUUGGAUUUUAGCUUCAGUCACUUCCUGUGAAAGGCCUGUGCACACCCCUGCCUCUAACAUACUUUUGCUCACAUAGACCAUUUUCUGUCACAUUUCUUUAUUGUAGUGUCUUCCUAGCAGUUGCCUUCAUCUGAACUUACCCUGUUUAUCUAGUUGCUAACUUGUAUGUUGUCUGUGGACACCCU